GAAAGUAACUCGGAGAUCUCAUUUUGCCACAUGGAAGACAGCAGACUCUCUACUUCUCUUCCCUUAGGUCACAAUGGCCUAUAGGAUAUUGCUUUUAGAAGCAAUGCUAUAAGGAACCCUUUUUCUUGCACCAGUAGGAGAUGGAGUCUUGCUCUGUCGCCCAGGCUGGAGUGUAGUGGAGCGUGAUCUUGGCUCACUGCAAGCUCCGCCUCCUGGUUCAUGCCAUUCUCCUGCCUCAGCCUCCGGAGUAGCUGGAACUACAGGUGCCCGCCACCACACCCGGAUAAUUUUUUGUAUUUUUACUAUUAGUAGAGAUGAGGUUUCACCGUGUUAGCCAGGAUGGUCUCGAUCUCCUGACCUCGUGAUCCACCCGCCUCAGCCUCCCAAAGUGCUGGGAUCAUAGGCGUGAGCCACCGUGCCCGGCCGACAUCACAUUUUACUUCCGUCCAUCAGCUCCUCAGUUUAGGAAAAUCUUAUCUUCCUAACAAAUAGAAAACUCUUGUAGCCCAAAUAAGAGGAAAAGAUGAGGCCUAAUGUUUAAAGUCCUGAUGGAUUCAAAGCCCUGAUGGAGACUCUCCACUCCUCAUACCUGAAGUCUGAAUAUUUGUCAUCUCAGAUUAUCUACAACUAAGGAGGGAACCUGACUUUUUCUUUGUCCCAGAGUGGGCAGGUUAUUCUCCCUCCCAAUACAAACCACCUUGAGGAAAAGACACAACUUAUUGGCAUAAAUGGCUGGGAUUGUUCUGAGGUUGUUCAUAGGUUCAAAGAAAUUGCUGCAGGGACUAGAACAAGGCCUCACACCACCAAGAUUUUCCUCACUUCUUCAAGCAGCCUUCUGCCUACCUGUCCCGCAUGGCGUCAUUCCUCAGAAGGCUUCUCCAGGCUCCUGGUAAGAUGUGGUCUGGCUGCCUCUUAGUUGACUAACUGUAACUUAAAGAGGGCAUCCUUUCCCAAAGAGCUUAUAUAAAGAGAAAAACUUUUGUUGGCCCUUCAUGGGUCACAUGUCCAUUCUUGGACCAAUUACUAUAUCACAGGAAUGAAUAAAGAGCUGUGAUUGGCCAGGUUCUGCUCGUGUUCCCUUGCCGACCACAGGGGUUGUUUCUGAUGCUGCUGGGGUUUGAGUGCAGAAGAAAUGCAUGGACAGGGAAAAAAAGUAGCCAGCGAAUCUCCCUCAGGUGCAUAUUAAGAAGAAAAAUGAAACUAAAAAGGGAAAACAAUAGCAACAAAGAUCAAAAUAAAUAACAAGGAAGCAGAGAGAAGAAAGAACAUGGUGAAGAGGGUGAAAAGUGUUGUCAUUUGGGG